rnacentral:rRNA from 1 species
CCUACGGGCGACAGCAGUAGGGAAUCUUGCACAAUGGGGGAAACCCUGAAGCAGCAACGCCGCGUGGAGGAUGAAGGUUUUCGGAUCGUAAACUCCUUUUGUUAGAGAAGAUAAUGACGGUAUCUAACGAAUAAGCACCGGCUAACUCCGUGCCAGCAGCCGCGGUAAUACGGAGGGUGCAAGCGUUACUCGGAAUCACUGGGCGUAAAGAGCGCGUAGGCGGGAUAGUAAGUCAGAUGUGAAAUCCUAUGGCUUAACCAGAGAACUGCAUUUGAAACUGUUAGUCUAGAGUAUGGGAGAGGUAGGUGGAAUUCUUGGUGUAGGGGUAAAAUCCGUAGAGAUCAAGAGGAAUACUCAUUGCGAAGGCGACCUGCUAGAACAUAACUGACGCUGAUGCGCGAAAGCGUGGGGAGCAAACAGGAUUAGAUACCCCUGUAGUC